GGUGGGGUUCCCGAGCGGCCAAAGGGAGCAGACUGUAAAAUCUGCCGUCAUCGACUUCGAAGGUUCGAAUCCUUCCCCCACCACCA
rnacentral:tRNA from 1 species